CACGUAGUUAGCCGGGGCUUCUUACUCAGGUACCGUCAUCUUCUUCCCUGCUGAUAGAGCUUUACAUACCGAAAUACUUCUUCACUCACGCGGCGUUGUUGCAUCAGGGUUUCCCCCAUUGUGCAAUAUUCCCCACUGCUGCCUCCCGUAGGAGUUUGGGCCGUGUCUCAGUCCCAAUGUGGCCGGUCACCCUCUCAGGUCGGCUACUGAUCGUCGCCUUGGUGGGCCGUUACCCCUCCAACUGGCUAAUCAGACGCGGGUCCAUCUCAUACCACCGGAGUUUUUCACACAAGAACAUGCAUCCUCGUGCGCUUAUGCGGUAUUAGCAGUCAUUUCUAACUGUUAUCCCCCUGUACUGAGCAGGUUACCCACGCGUUACUCACCCGUCCGCCACUCAGUCAAUCUAGCUUCCAUCCGAAACUUCCGCUAAAUCGCUUCGUUCGACUUGCAUCGUGUUAAAGCUACGCCGCCAGCCGUUCAUCCGUGAGUCCAGGAUCAACUCUACCG
rnacentral:rRNA from 1 species